GCGGCCAUAGUAUAAUGGUAGUACUGGAGCUUCCCAAGCUCCUGGCGUGGGUUCGAUUCCCACUGGCCGCU
rnacentral:tRNA from 1 species